CUCUUAUUAGCUUAAUGGUAGAGCAUAUAUUUCCUAAAUAUAUGAUUCAAGUUCAAGUCUUGGAUAAGAGG
rnacentral:tRNA from 1 species